CACUAGACAAAAACCCCUAACAUGUAAAAAAAGAUGUGCAAUAUUAAUUAUAUUAUAAUUAUAAUCAAAAUCAAUCAAAUGUGCAUGUUUGUGGAUGUAAUCUCCAAUUAUCCUAAGAUUUAGUCUUAUUAACACUGUUGUUAAGAACAAGUUCCACAAAUAAAAUUUUUUAUAGACUAUCUUGAACUUUAUGCUCUUACUUAAACUUAUUUGGAGAUGGAAUAUUUCAAUGUAUAGAAAUAAUCAAAGAUACUAUGAGGGUUUUAUUUUUAUUAAUAUAAUUCUUCUACACAAGGAAAAUUAACUUGUUUCUCAAUGAGUAAAAUAAAAAAUGUCUCCUUACCUUUUUUUGUUUUGGUAGUCACACAAGAAAAAAUAAGACAAACGACGUAAAUAUUAUAAAAUCUACAGACAGGCUUUUUACGACAUAAGUAAUACUAAAUACAUAAAGUUUGGUCUCCUUUCUGGCUAAGGACUCGCAUAACUCGCACGCGAUAAUUUACAUUAAAGUACAACUUUCAUCUAAAGCGCAAAUAAUAUUUGCUAUAUGUUUUUAAUAAAUAUUGCAUAUUGCAAACAAUGCAUAUGUUGUUAUAUAUAAAUAACAUGAGAGAGAGAGAGAUAGAGAGAGAGAGAGAGAGAAGAUGCUAAUCUAAUUGUUUGUGGAGUGAUGAAUAAUAUAAUCUUAUUAUUAUGGAUUGACAGAGCGAUUAACAAUAAAAUACUUAAAAUGCUGUGUUUCUUCGACCCUCUAUAACCCAAUUAUUAUUAUAAAAUCUUUUCUAACGUACAUCUUGUAUUUCUUAAACAAUAAAUAAUUGACAUACUACUGUUUGAUUUUGUUCGAGACAAAAUCAUCUUCGAAAAUUGAUUAAUCUCUGUUGAGGCGCAAUGUCUUUCAGUGUAAUUUCUCUCAAUUCGCCUCUACAAAAAUCUAGCAAAAUCUAGCAUUAUUAAAGUAAUUGAUAUUAUUUAAAAGUUACGCUGGGUUAUAUAGGGUUAAAAAAAUAACUACCGGCUUAUAUAAAAAAUGCUAAUCAUUCGCACAAUCUGUAUACAUAAUAUAUAAUCUAUUGUCGCGCAGAAUGCCGUUACAUUUCGAUACUUGGUAAAAACAAUAUAUGUAUAUAUAUGUAGUGAUAUCGUCAUAUUUUUACAUAUAAAACGAUAAACUGGAUAAUCUUUUAGUAGCCCCACAAAGGAUAUCCAAUAUAAAUAACGGUAGGCUUGCGAAAAUUAAAUGGACUCACUGGAAGUACGUCUAAAAUAGACUGAAAAGUAGACCGAAAUCGAGUUAUUUACAAAGAUGUGAAAUCAAUGCUAUAUACAGGAAUGACAAUUCCUUCCAUGUGUCGAUGCAUCGACCGCCAAACUUGACAAAAUGACGAGGCAACAAAAUAUGAACAGUCAAUAUCUCUCAUCUUAAAUCUUAAGUAACAAUACGGAAGAUAGGCGGAUCAUAGAAUAUUAUCGGUACAUAUGUAAGUACAGCGAUACGUUCGUUUCGCGCAUGUAUCUCUCUCUCGAUUACAAAUUGCAGUUUAUUCUACACUCCAUUCCAUCUCUAUUUAUUCUAGCACGGCCAACAGUGUGUUUUACAUAUAUCUACAUAUGCAUAUAUAUAUGUGUAAAACACACGGUACAAUCUUUUUAUAUUAAUAAUAUUAUAUUGUAUAUUAAUCGUUUCUUAAUAUUGACCUCUCUUUUGUCCAUUUAGAAUGAGGCUAUUUAGUCUGUAAUAAUCGUGAACAUUAGUUAUUUAUGAUGUAUCUUCAAAGAACGGAUAUGAGGAUGUUUCAAGUACAGUUGGAUGCUUCUCGAAUGCUUCUGUCCUGAGAUAUUUUCGUUAUUCAACAUGCUUGUGCAUCGCUCAACUUUUCAAAUUUGAAUAUUCUUGCAAGAUUUUCGCGUGAAUGGACUCAUUCAUAAAAAAAAUAAAGUUUCUUUAACUUUGUUAAAAAUUUAGAUAAUAUAAAUGUUGGACGCGCGCGCGCGUGUGUGUGUGUGUGUGUGUGUUAUAAGAGCAAAUGCUGUAUUAAAUGCGUAUAUUAAGUAAUUAUUAAUUAAAAAAAAAAUCAUCAAAAAUUUCAAAAAAUCACAUGCUUUGUAAACGCGUUUUUAUUGAUCAACGUCACGAUACAAGAAAUAAGUUUGCAUUACAGGAAAAGUACAAUGGUAACAAUCGCAUGUGAUUGACUACAUUGUUAAAUCUACCAAUAUAAUGGAAAUUAUAUCGUAUCGUGACGUGACGAUUAAACGGCGGUACUAUUCCAAUGCUUCUUAUUUUUAAGUCAUUGAUACAUUGUUGUUACAGUUUUCUCGCACGUAUAAAUAUUUGUUAUAUCUGUCAUUAUUAAAACUUACAAUUUUGUUUGUAAUAAUAAAAAAAAAAAAAUUAAAUCCAAUAAAAAAUGAGUCCCAUUAAAAAAAUUAAAUGUUACAAACCCAAAAUAACGUAAAAUUACGAUCGGUACAAUUACAGUCAGCAAUUUUUUGAUCGCACUAAGUAAUAUUACAUCGUACUUAAGAGCUACUGGCAUAGAGUCCUGAGACAGUUGUCCGCUUGUACCAAUCCUUAUGAUUCUCUUAGUAUCUUUUUAAUGGAUAUAUCAAUUAUUUCAUAUUUGUAUCAAUAGAUAUAUCAAUUAUUCUCAAAUAAUAAUAUUUCAAAACGUAUUCGAUACGUUUACUUGUUUCAGAGCGUUUCAGGUGAUUUAAAUUUCAAUAAUUUAAUUUUCCUUGGAGACAACUAUAAGCUAUAGCUAUAAGAGAAGAAAAAAAAUCGAUAAUAAUGAUGUAAAUAUUGUAAAAAUGUCUUUGUCAAUUAAGAAGCAUGAAUAUAUUCGUUCUUUGAAAUAAAUUAGUCCCGUUUAAUCUUCUACUUUGCAUACUGGCACUUUGCCUACUCGUUAUACAAAAAUAACGAAAGCAUUCCAGUCUCAUAACAUAUACGCCACGUUAUUUAAAAUCUAAUUCGCACAUAUCAAUUUACAAGGAAAUAGUUUAAAACGCCCUGGGUCAAUGAUAAUAUUUUCUCGCGUCGUCUUUAUCGUCAAAUUUUUAACAUUAUCCUUAAUUUCGAUACAUUGCACUUAAUACAUAUAUUGAUGUGUAGUCCCUUUAUAUAUUUGGUAAUCGCCAAAAAACUACAUAUACGCUGUUUUCCUAUUUCACAUACACAUGGGUGUUAUCAAAUCCGCAUUAAAAUUGAUUAAAAUUAAUUGAUAAUUAUGCCUUCAGAGAACGAACGGACACAAAUCAUGUCAAAAGACAGUCUCUCUUUUCGUCUUAGUUCCAGUUGGAGUACACUCGAUACACAUGAUACAUAUUUCGGUUAUUCGUGUAUCCUCGACACAACGACAUUGCGCGUAGAGCAUAUAGAUGAGUGCAAUGAUCUUUCAUCUUAACAACUACUUAUUAUCAGCAGGAGCUUGCGACACAUUACACGAUCAUUCUACUAUUCACACGCGGAAUAAUACCAUGUACAUUAUAGUGCAUUAUGAUGCAAUAGAAAACACUUAGUCAUAAGGCAUCGAAUCGAUUCGUGCUCCAUUUACUUUGUUAAACUGUCGAUAAACCGGGAAUAGCACGAGACGUAAUAAACACUACUCUGAAAGCGAAAGAUCGAAUAAGUAAUUUCGUGAGCAAUAAGCUCCAGCUUUGUUAUUUAGUUCGUACAAAACGAUUCAAACGCCAACGAGCAUUUAUUCGUAUGUGUGCUACGCUGACGACAAAAAAAAAAGAAUUAUUUCGUUAUGCGUAAUGUGUUAUUAUUAUUAGACUAUUUUUGAGACUAAUUAUUCAUCACUCAUUACAAUGUAAAAAUCGCGCGGCUAUUCCGGGUAUAACAGUAUAUUCAUGCAUUCGCAACUACUGUCUCUUUAUCUAAAAUCGAGAGUACGCACAAUAUAUUAAAUAGUUUUAAUUUUAUUGCUAGUUAAGUUGACUGAGAUUCAAAUUUUGUCACAUAAAAUGUGAAAUUAUUCUCGUUAAAAAAAAAAAAAAA